rnacentral:piRNA from 1 species
ACAUAAAAGAACGCAUACUGGAGAGA